rnacentral:rRNA from 1 species
CAGCCGCCGCGGGAAUACAGAGGGUGCAAGCGUUAAUCGGAUUUACUGGGCGCAAAGGGCGCGUAGGUGGUUAUGUAAGUGAGAUGUGAAAUCCCCGGGCUCAACCUGGGAACUGCAUCUUAUACUGCGUAGCUGGAGUGCAGUAGAGGGUAGUGGAAUUUCCGGUGUAGCGGUGAAAUGCGUAGAUAUCGGAAGGAACACCAGUGGCGAAGGCGGCUACCUGGACUGACACUGACACUGAGGCGCGAAAGCGUGGGGAGCAAACAGGAUUAGAGACCCGCGUAGUCCCUGUCUCUUAUAC